GGGGAUUUAGUUCAGUGGCAUAAGCGCCUGCCUUGUAAGCAGGCAGUUGUGAGUUCAAUCCCUG
rnacentral:tRNA from 1 species